AAAGGCAAUAUUCCGAAAGCUGACCUGCUUUUAAGGUAUGGAGCAUAUAUCGACCCGGUAGAUGAGGAAUAUCAAUCUGCUCCAUUAGGCCUGGCAGCAAGGUGGGGAGAAAUCAAAAUGGUGGAAUUCCUGCUUUCAAAAGGAGCGGAUCCCCACAAGGCCGGUGCCCCGUGGGCAACGCCCCUAAACUGGGCAAGGGU
rnacentral:rRNA from 1 species